rnacentral:rRNA from 1 species
UACGAAGGGGGCUAGCGUUGUUCGGAUUCAUUGGGCGUAAAGGGUGCGUAGGCGGCGCGGUAAGUCGGGUGUGAAAUCUUGGAGCUUAACUCCGAAACUGCAUUCGAUACUGCCGUGCUUGAGGACUGGAGAGGAGACUGGAAUUUACGGUGUAGCGGUGAAAUGCGUAGAUAUCGUAAGGAAGACCAGUGGCGAAGGCGGGUCUCUGGACAGUUCCUGACGCUGAGGCACGAAGGUCAGGGGAGCAAACGGG